GGUUCCAUGGUAUAGUGGUCUAGCAGAUCAGGAAGUUCGAAACAUUCCAAAGUGUUCAAAAAUCCUGAAGACCUCGGUUCGAAUCUGGGUAGAACCA